rnacentral:rRNA from 1 species
UGGGGAAUAUUGGACAAUGGGCGCAAGCCUGAUCCAGCAAUGCCGCGUGUGUGAAGAAGGCCUGCGGGUUGUAAAGCACUUUCAGUGGGGAGGAAGGCUCAAUGUUUAAUACGCAUUGGGAUUGACGUUACCCACAGAAGAAGCACCGGCUAACUCUGUGCCAGCAGCCGCGGUAAUACAGAGGGUGCAAGCGUUAAUCGGAAUUACUGGGCGUAAAGGGUGCGUAGGUGGUUAGUUAAGUCAGAUGUGAAAGCCCUGGGCUCAACCUGGGAACUGCAUUUGAAACUGGCUGGCUAGAGUAUGGUAGAGGGAAGUGGAAUUUCCGGUGUAGCGGUGAAAUGCGUAGAUAU